GUGAUAUUUGGGUAAGGACACAGAUCCAAACCGUAUCAGGUGUUUGUAUUUCCUUUCAGAGUGAAGAUAUCCUCAAAUGUCUAGUGAUCCUUAACUGUCUGUUCACCUUUAAGACUACAGCACUAAAAAUCUGAUUGGAAGUUCUGAUAUAUGAGUUGGGUUGCCAACUCUGGGUCUUACCCCAGUCCUACAUUCACUGCCACUUCCAGAAAUAUCUGGUAUCACCAAUUCAUGAGCCCACUGGAGGUUUUGAGGUGCAAGUCU